GCCUUGGUCACAUGUGCCCCUGGUACCCACGCGAUCCCAUCUCGAACUCGGCCGUGAAACCAGGUAGCGCCGAUGGUACUGCCGCUUAAGCGCCGGAAGAGUAGGGUGCCGCCAAGG
rnacentral:rRNA from 14 species